AAGGGAGCUGCCGGGGAACUCUGUCAGGAUACCUGGCGUUUUAUCACCGUGAUAGAGAUGAAGCAGGAACACCUAGCAUCUCUGAACUUCCACAGGAGUCUCUUAGGGAUGAAUCACUGUCAUGGAUGCUGCUACUCGCUGGCCAGGGCUCAGAAGUCAACCUUCCUCAAAUGUUGAAGCUGAAGUCAAGUGAGAGGAGAUGUCAAGAAACCUUACAUUGAACAUUUAUGUAAUGGACUGGAUAUUUAAAAAAUCUUGACACUGAGUUGGAUAAUGCCACCUCUAGUGAGAUAAGAAGGCCAACAGUUCAAGGGUCAACUGGGCUAAACAAUGAGAUUGUCAAAAAGAAAGAACAGAAUUUUUUAAAAAAAUACUAUACUGUCAUGGAAAGCUACAAAACAUCUGAAGAACUAUUCUCUAGAGGAGACUAAAGAGACAUGACAACUGAAUUUGAUGACUGGCUUGUAGUAGAUCCUACCAUAUUUCUAAUGUCCAUAAAAUACAGUAAUGGGAUUGAAAAUUGAAUACAAG
rnacentral:lncRNA from 1 species